ensembl:lncRNA
ACAGUUACGGCAAUGUGCCUCUGUCAUCUUUUCACUUUGUUGUUGUCUAGUGCAAGUUGAUUGGCUGUCGAACUGGUUGAACAAUGACCACAGAAACAAAGAUUGAUGCUGAUUUGCUGAAAAUUCAUUGUUUAUUUAGAAAAAAAGAAUAGUACAUUCACUGCAUACUUUAAAAUGUAUCAUUUAAAAUGUUUGGUUUUGAAUCAAGCCUUACAAAGUCAAAAGACUGGAGUUCAAGUGAAGUUACAUGUCAUUGUGAAAGUCAGCAAAUAUGUGAUUUGUGUCCAAGUCGAGUCCACAACACUGCUAACUGUUACAUUACGGUUAGCUAGAUCUCUGGUACGAGGUAGAUGAAAAGCCCAAGUGAUUGUUUUAUGUUUUUUUUUCUUUUAGCAAGAACAAUUUUAAGAUGUGCUUACACUAGGCCCGGUUGCGUUGUACCGUGAUCAAGCACGAUUGUCCCCACUUCCCAAUUCCCCACUGGCCUGCACUCACAGUAUACUUAACAUCCCGGGCCUGAGAACGCGUACGUCAUUAUGGUGCUGCUUUUAGUUUUGAAGAAAACAAGAAAACAGGAAGAAAAGCAUUCUCGCACAGCACAACGAAGCACAUCAUCAUGACGUUACUUAUCUUUAAACAUACUUUGUUAUGUUAGCUUUUACAUGACUUUUAUACAGUUGGUAUAUAUGCUUAUUUUUAUUAUUUGAAUCUAUACAUGAUUGUGUUUUUAUGUAAAGUGACUUGAAAAGCUACUUUUAAAGGCACAAUAUUAAAUAAAGAUUAUUAAUAUUGCAGUUUAUUUGUAGUCGUUUGGGGCACGGUGACAGCACAGCGAUUUUUGCUGCAUGGUAUCAGAAGAUUUUUCCGCAGGCAGCUGACAGUUGCAUCAGUGACAUCAUGUUUUGCGUUUCGUGCUCAGCCACGAUUAAUGAUCACACUAGAUGUGUACCGUGCCAGAGUCCAACUGAACCAUGCCUGAGCCCACCUCUUCAAGUGGGCCUGGGCACGGUACGGAGUGAUCAAACUAGUCAAGCGAACUGGUCUUUGGGAGUCAAAUGUGCUCGGGCAUGGUACAGAUCAUCUAGUCUUAGUACACCCUUAGUGAAUUUAAUCAGUGAAGUAAUAAGUGAAGCUAUAAGCUCGAAGAAUAUCUCAUUUUAAAUAUAAAACUUCAGUAACGUUCCAUACAAUUUGUCUUGUUUUUAUGACUUUUUCAAUGAAAGCAUGCUGAUGUCAACUUCUUCUCCCUAACUCUGUCUAAAUGGUUUGUUCUGUAAGCCAGGGGCCAUAUAUAUCAAAUGUCUCAAGGAUCAUAUUUCUACAGUCUAAUAGCAUUCAUUAAAAAAAAUCUCAGAACUUGGGAACCCCACAGACUUAUAUUUUAAGUUAUUCAUUAUAUUUUUAGUUAUAUUUCACUAUUGAAGGUCUUUUUACUGUUUUGGUUUACUAUCUCUACUAAUCCAGCACAAAAAUAAUAUACUGUACAGUUACUCUAAUAUAACAAAAACAUUUCCAGGUGCAAUUAAAUCACAUAAUACUGUAUCUUAUAUCAUGUCUCUUUGACUUAUGCAAAAAAACAUUCUAUUCAACCUUCCACGUGUGAAAAGUAUGCAUACAUAAAUCAUGAAUCUUAGAACUUAAUCAUGAGAGAUGCAUUCAAAAACUUCACUGCUUUGAGGAAUGAAAAAGAUCUCAAAGGUCUUAAGAUGCCAUGUAUUCACUGUCAACAAAGAGGGGAACAAUAAUGGCUGACAGGUGUCCUCCCCAUUUCAGGUUGCACUUUUGUUCCACUAUGCCCUGAGUCUUCUCACAUGGAUUUUCUUUCUGUGCCUACAACCUGAUAAGACGUUUCCUUUUUUUUUUAUGUGAGCAACAUUGGUCUGGGAGUGUCUUGCGUUUUAGCCUUCUGUUAACUUUGAUCAUUCUGUUUUCACAUAAGCAAGAAAGAGAAUUGAUAGGAUUUCACUCCCACCUCCUUCAACAGCCCUCUACAAGAGUAUUACUGUAUUAGGUUUCCACAUAACUACAUUGUACUAAGGAAAAUAUGCGAGAUCAGCAGAGAUGUCUGUGGGAACCUACAGAGAUGUACAUGGCAUUAGCAAGAUGCUAGCUGUGUUUUUGUUUUCUGAAAUAGUUUGGUCUAAACAGACCAUUUAUCAUUUGUGGCCCUGUAUUCUGAUCUACAUAAUAACAUUCACAGACAUCCACACAAAGCUUAAAAUCAAGUUACCUACAAUGCUGCUGCCACAGAAGUCACAGAAAGUCCUAAAUACUGCAGAGAAGUGGAGUUCUGGCUAAAACUUGUGUAAUAAACAACAAAAUAAGAUCUAAACCCACAGUGUAGAGAUUAGGUCCAAGUUUUAAGAGAUACUGUAACUCUUAAAAUCUCUGUGUAACAAAUAUAUAAAAGCUUACACAAAGCUUAGAGGUGCCUGUUGUAAGUUAUUUGAAGGUGAAUGGUACAACUAAUAAACUGACUAUUGUGUGUAUAUCUGAAGCCGAUAGCAGGAAUUAAUGUAAAAUGGGUGAUUAUGCAGAACAGGUCUGUUAGCAAGGAAUUCUAGACCUUGGAAUUAUAAGGUCCUCUCUGAUAAUUCUGUGAUUUUAAGAUAUUGAGCCAUAAAGUAUUGGCUCUCAAUAAGGUCUAAACAAAAACAAUUAAAAAAUUAUUCUCCUAUUCAUUCAUUCAUUCAUUCAUUCAUUCAUUCAUUCAUUCAUUCAUUUUUAGUCAGCACUUUAUCUGGACAGGGUUAUGGUUGAUCUGGAGCCUAUACCUCGAACAUUCGACAUGACACAGGAAUGCACUCUGAAUGGGACCCUAGUCCAUCACAGAGCACCAUGAACACACACAUUCAUACACUCAUCCACACCUAGGGGUAAUUUAGCAAAGCCAAUCCACUUACUGGCAUGUUUUGGGAAGUAAGAGGAAACCAGAAAACCUGGAAGAAACCCACAUGAAAAAAGGACACCAUACAAACUUCACAACGCAACGCAACUGUCUUAGACACCAUGCAACUGUGCCACCCUCAGUGGCAUGUAAUUCUGUACCACUUAUCCUACACAGGGCCGUGAGGAGUCUGGAGCCUAUCCUAGGGAACUCGGGGCACAAGGCGGGAAUACCAUGGAUGGGGUGCUAACCCAUUGCAGGGCACAAUCGCGCACAAACUACGGACAAUUUGGAAAUGCCAAUCAGCCUACAAUACAUUUACUUGCAAAUUCAUAACAAUACUCCUGACUGUAUUUGUAUGAAAUGCUAUGAAAGUUAAUGUGAAGGUAAUGUCUGUACUGUCUCUUAAGAUUUAAUUUCAAAAUUAGAUCUCUUUCUCAUGGCCUGUAAAAUAAUAAUCUUACAUGGAGAUGAAAACAGUCUCCACUGUUAGAAUUGUAUACUUAUUUCAGGUGCAAAGGUCAUUCUUUUAAAUCUGACCUGUUUCCGCAAAUAUAGUGUUCUUUGGUUUCCACUUUUGCCUCUUGACAUGGUUCCAAAUCUUAGCUGCUUUAAUGUUUCAACAGAUUUUGCAGAAGCAAUUUUUUAUAUCCCCAACCAUAGCAAUGAUUACACAAUAACAAAAAGUACUCCAGUCUGAUGGGAUGCUUUAAAAACCGCCAGCUACAGACUGUACAGUUCCUUUGGAAAUAGAGAGAAAAACAUAAUCUAGCACAGACUGAUUAGAGAUCGGCAUCACUGGGUGUUUCAUCAUCGUCUCCCUGGUGCUGACUCAGCACAAAGCGCAUAACAAAUUUAAGUGUGACCUGUGUCCACAUACUGUCUAUCACUCUAAAGUGAUCCACACACCCAAACCAAACUUCCUGACUAGCUGUUUUUAGAUUGCGCACACCCCCUGUCCUCAGUGAUCAAACUGCAAACUUCUAUUCGGUGCUGAGUGCUUCCAUUAAACUAAGUAGUCCUCCACAUUUAGCUUGCGUAGCAUUUUCUUCACAUAGCUGCUAAUAAAUAGCCCACUUCAGCACAGUGUAUGGCCUGCUCUCAAUAGGCACGUAAUGAUAUACAUUAUUCUAUAAACUAGCAUGUUAAUGUGAACUGUAUGGCAUAAAUAAUCAAGUGGACCUAUUAUCAGUUCUGAUGAAAUUUGUUUAGGUUAGGAAAUCAUGCUAGUAAUUGCACACUAGGGUCAGGAAGUAAAAGUCUCAGGAAUUGGCAGCAGUUAUUUGCUGAGUAGGUGUAACGUACAGUACAAGUAGCAAUAUUUAUGCACAUAUUCAACCAAGGUCACAGAAAGAUUUUGACAAACAACACAGAUUGAUUGUAAAUGUGAUUCCAUUGAUCUAAUAAUAGGAAGUAUCUCUAACGAAUGUUUAGCAUUGGUGGCACAGCUCACAUUCUUAAAUUUCUUAUACACUUUAUUUUAGCACGUCUAGACUGUGGAGAUUAAUUAUUUCUCUAAUGGCGCUCUAGCAACCCAGAGUGUGACCCUUUACUUCAUUUAACAUGAAUGAAAAAAUCUCAUACUAACCUUUACUCUCAGCACAGUGAGCAAUCCAUCUUUUAUUUGACCUCAUCUCCCAUCUCUCUUCACCUGGAAUAAGAAUAAACAGUAGCAUGUCAUAUGAAAGAACCGCAGAUGGCUCCAUAUUGCCAGUUGAAUCAGAUCAAACCUUCUAAUCUUGACCUACUUUUCCUCCCACAUAUAUCCCUUUUACCAAGGUAGAUAAACCCAUGCUCUCACCACACAUCUAACAAUAUAGAAGCAAAGUGCAGCAUGGCGUGCAUUCUGCAUCUCUCCUCAUAGCUGAGGUACACCGAAACAGUUUCAGCUAUUAUAAAUCAUUUACUGCACAGUCCAUUCCUGCUUUAAGGGGGUACAUUAGGCUAUACACUUAACUCUGGUUGAAAAUACUGUAUGCUCUUCAAGGAUCGCUUGUUUGUCAUUGUAUGUGUGUGUCAUGACCUGUGACCUGGUGGCUUUCGUGUCACUUGAGUAACUGCUUUUGUAUAUAUGUGUCUAUUAAUGAUCAUAAGACUUGGAGCGCCAUUUUCAUGCAGUGUAAUUUAGUGAUACUGUAUAACACUGGUAUAUUGCAGUUUUUUCCUAUUAUUACCCAGUUGCUAUUUUUGUGUUCAUAAAUAAACACUAAAAUGGCUGGCGCAGUGCAACAGGGGCUAUAACGUUCAAAAUCUAUCAUCAUAGUGAUAUUUUUUAAAUCCAUAAGGACCAAAUUCUAUUGUACAUUACUGCCUAUGGAGAUCCUGAUGCUAAAAUGGUAUUUUCCUGUCCAAUUUCUUCCAAGAUGGUUUAGCUGAUGUACACUAUUAAUGUCAUGUCACUUCAAUAUCAAGAGGCUUCUUAUCCAAAUAAUAACUAAAUAUAACUGAGUCAAUCAUUUUAUUUAUAUCAAAUAAGAUCAAACAGAUCAGCUCUGGCUACCAAAUGUGGAUCAGACAAUCGAGACAUAAUUACAUGUGGACUAUCGCUUAAUUAAUGCAAUCAACUGAAUGUCUGACAAAACUAAUUCAAUGCUAAUGGCUACAGAGACCAGGAGUUGGCUGAUAUAGAUCGUUCCAGAGGCUCGCACAUGUAAGUGAAAAAGAAAAUAGAAAACACAUUUAUUGUAAGUUUUGUCAGCCAGUUGGUUAUUUCUACCCCUACAAUAUUGCAGAGAAAUAUACAAGUGGAAUCUAAUAGUAUAUUAUUAUCGAAAUAUUACUGCACUGAACCGCAGUCUUUAAAAAGAGCGAGAUGAGAUUGCUGACAUUGUUUGGAUCGUCUACCACACAUUGUGGUAAUGUACUCAUACUAAUGAUGUGACUACAUUACACAACAUAAAGAUUAUAUAAUGCUGCAUUUGUUGUAUGAUCAGGUAUGUCAUGUGGUAGGCAAUUUAGGUUAUAAACACACUACUUAAUCUCAGAAAAACUCCAAGGUACCAGCAAAGACAGUUCAGCUUGGCAAAGAGACAGCGAGAGAAAAUUAGACUUGACGUAAACAUGAACACUGACUACAAACCUGUAAUAAUAAAGUGUAAGCUUUUAUUGUCGAUAUUAUACACCAUAAGUGAAAAAGAUCAAUUGUGUGCAUGAACAUGAAUUUAAAAAAACAACAACUUCUCCUGGGGAAAAAAGACAAAAAACAGUCUCGUCGUCAAUACAGGUUUUCAGUUUUAAUGUGAUCAGGACAUGAGACAACGGAGAGACAGCAGAUAUGCAUGCAACCCCCUCUCUCUUUCUUUGCCUGCUCUGCCCUGGGCAGCAAUAGUUUGGUAUUGCCAAGGCAAGCUGGAUAGUUACCAUGGAGAUCUGUAUAAACCUCGACUCCGCCACCCUACAAGACGGGUGAGGCCAUGCAUUUGGGCGUGCACACACAUACACACACACACACACACACACACACACACACACACACACACACACACAGAAACCCACACAGGUAGUCACACAUCCCUGUCUUGUGCCAGAGGCUCCAAUUUUUUAUAUGUGUGUAAAUUAACUCAUGUUUAUCUAAAGAAGGAGAAAAUAGCCCUUCCUCCUAAUAGCUUACUCACUAUAACCAAGGCUGAGGGAUUACCUAUAAAACCGAAUAGUGGAUUUAAAGGAUUAUAACUAUUAAAAUUAGCAACACUUUUAAAAGCACAAUUAACAUUUUGGACACAAUUACAUACUCUGUUCUCUACACCUAAUUUUAACAUUUUCUUUUGUAUUAAAUGUUUUUUAUUUUUAGUUUUUUUUAAUGUGGCUGUGAUUAAAAUUAAACGUGUGUGCAUUGUGUGUGUGUGUGUGUGUGUGUGUGUGUGUGUGUGUGUGUGUGUGUGUGAGUAUCUAGGGACAUGUGGAGUUCAGACCACAGUUCAUCCAGAAGUGAUUCUUUUCAUUAGCUAUUAUAAAUAAUUUAUCAGUGAGGCUGUUCUCUACAAAAACAGCACUUGCAGUUACAUACACCAUGUAGGCCACACACACACACACACACUCUCUCUCUCUCUCUCUCUCUCUCUCUCUCUCUCUCACAAAACCCAGAGGCAGUAACUCCCACAUAGAUAUUUUGUUACCAUCAUUCAGCACUUUUACAGAAAAGUCUUCAACUGCAGUAAGUACAAACAUCCUGAUCACAUUCAUUACCAUCAUGUAUAGUACCUUCAGUAGAGAGACAGCACAAAACAUCAAGGGUUAAUAUUCAAUCUUGCAUCUACUCCUCUUUCUGCCUCUUUUGUAUAUCCAAGAUGGAAGCACCAUUCUCGAACGCACACGCUAAAAAUAAUCCUCCAUGAUUGGAGGGAUGAAGUGUCAAUUAUUCUUAUGCAAAUGUGCCCAGUUUCUCACGUUUCCAAAGAGAAAGACCACAGAUGGCUACACAGAAAUCUCUGCGCGAGGCUACCAGACAAAAAGAGCUUGCAUAAUAAUGUGACGCCGCUAUUUGCAUGUCUGUCUUCCGCCGCAAUGAAAAAUCAAGCACAGCGGAGAGGGUUCAUGCAAUCCUGGCAUGAAGGAUGCAGUAGAGUUCGUCUAUGGUAAUGGGAUCAUGGGAGAGUGGCCUGCCUCUGCGUCUCUGUCUUUCCCUCUCUCACACACACACUCCCACACAUAAAUACACCCAAACAGGGUCCACGCCAUACCCCCCCUCCACCCCACCCCGCAAAAGAGUGGUCGCAGGACAAUGGCACUAUUGUUGCCCCCUUGUUUUGAAACCCCAGGCAGAGAACAGUUGCUGUUUACCCAAGCCAUGGCGUCCCUCCGAUCCGGAUGUUAAUUAAUUGGAGGGCUCCUGAUUGAGCUUGCUCUGUGCACACAGCACAAAAACAGGCAUUCAGGGCCACGAGGGGAAGGAGCGCUCUCAUGGCAAAAUGCCGACUUCUCUUUCUGUCCCUUCCUCCCCUUUUACAUGCCAAACUACUCUCCUCUGUCUUCUUGCUCUCACUAUCUCUCGUCUUCUGACCCCUUUUAGUCUGCAUCCUCAUUGAGUAUGCAAGACUCGCCUACUCUGAUUUGCACACCUGCCAUUUUCCACACACACACACACACACACACACACACACACACACACACACACUGAAUUAUAAACCAAACCGAAAAAAAAAUGCUUAUAGUGUCCAUUAAUUUUUUCCAAUAAUAAUAAUAAUAAAAUAAGAAUAAUAAUAAUGAUGAUGAUAACAAUAAUAAUAAAAACAAUAAACAAUAUAUA